UACGAAGGGGGCUAGCGUUGUUCGGAAUCACUGGGCGUAAAGCGCACGUAGGCGGGUCGUUAAGUCGGGGGUGAAAUGCCAAGGCUCAACCUUGGAACUGCCUUCGAUACUGGCGAUCUCGAGUCCGGGAGAGGUGAGUGGAACUCCGAGUGUAGAGGUGAAAUUCGUAGAUAUUCGCAAGAACACCAGUGGCGAAGGCGGCUCACUGGCUCGGUACUGACGCUGAGGUGCGAAAGCGUGGGGAGCAAACAGG
rnacentral:rRNA from 1 species